rnacentral:rRNA from 1 species
AGUGAACGCUGGCGGCGUGCUUAACACAUGCAAGUCGAACGAGAAUGGGAUAUAGCUUGCUAUAUUUGUCAGCUAAGUGGCGCACGGGUGAGUAAUGUAUAGAUAACCUGCCCUCUAGUAAGGAAUAACAGUUUGUAACGACUGCUAAUGCCCUAUGUGCCCUUAUUCCAUAAGUAUGCAAGGGAAACGCUUUAGUGCUAGAGGAUGGGUCUGUGUGGUAUCAGCUUGUUGGUGAGGUAAUGGCUCACCAAGGCUAUGACGCCUAACUGGUUUGAGAGGAUGAUCAGUCAGACUGGAACUGAGACACGGUCCAGACUCCUACGGGAGGCAGCAGUGGGGAAUAUUGCACAAUGGACGAAAGUCUGAUGCAGCAACGCCGCGUGGAGGAUGACACAUUUCGGUGCGUAAACUCCUUUUAUAUAGGAAGAUAAUGACGGUACUAUAUGAACAAGCACCGGCUAACUCCGUGCCAGCCGCCGCCGUAA